rnacentral:rRNA from 1 species
UCAAUUGUCUUAUAAUUGGAGACUGGAAUGAAUGGUUGAACGAAAUUGAAGCUGUCUCAUUUAUAUUAUUUAAAAAUUGGCUUUUAGAUGAAGAGAUUUAGAUUUUAUUAAUAGACAAGAAGACCCUAUUGAGCUUUAAAUAAUUUUGGGGUUAUAAUUAUCUUUAGAAAUUGAAGUCUUAAAUAUUUUUUAGUUGGGGCGACUAAGGAACAGCUAAAGCUUCCUAUAUAUUAUUGUAACUUAUAUGUUUUGAUCCAGUAUAAUCUGAUUGAAAGAGAUAGUUACCAUAGGGAUAACAGCAUAAUCUUCUUUGAGAGUUCAUAUCGAAAAGAGGGGUUGUGACCUCGAUGUUGGACUAAAAUAUCCUAAAAAUGUA